UGCACAUUAUCUCCCACUUAGCCGUUUUCAACACUUACAUCUAUAGUCUUCGAGAAAAACAGCAAAACCUAUCUUCUUCUUCUCAAAGCAGAACCCGUCUUCUUCUCUUAAAGAAUUGAACCCAUCUUAUUCUCAAAACUCAUCUUCUCCAACAAGACCCAUUUUAUUCUCAAAACUCAUCUUCUCUGUCUUCGCAAAACACCAUCACCAUCUUCGCAAAACACAUCUUAGCCAUCUUCUUCUCAAAAUCUGUCUUCGCAAAACACCAUCACCAUCUUUACAAAACCCAUCUUAGCCAUCACCAUCUUCUCAAAACACUAGAUUCAAGUUGAAGAUGAGGAGAACAAAAACGGGGUUCUUCUGGGCUACUGGAUUAGAUUAGGGUUCUUCGAUCUUGAGGUUUACAACGACGAUUUGGGGAUGUGUGGGCUACUCGAUUUGGGGGUUUCACGGCUACUCUAUUUGGGGUUUUCACGGCUCUUCGUCCUCUCUUCGCAAUCACACUCGUCGUCUCAUUCAUUGCUUCUGGAGUGCUACAAGAAUGCAAGCUGACAACGAAGAAUUGGAGUUGAAGCAAAUGAGAGAUAUGGUUGCUGCCAAAAAGAAUGGGAGGAAUCGAUCGAAGUUCUAAGAACAACAAAUCUGGGUCGAAAUUUGCUUCUGAUUCUAAAAGUGGGUCUCGAAAGAAAAUCGAAUGUCAAUGCUGUAGGAUACCAUUACCCUUUUGUUGAACUUCAGUUGGGUUGUUGUUUUGCCAUGUGGUUCCUGCAAACCUACCAAGCCUUACAAGUUGGAGCUUGCAAUAUAUUCUAGUAUGCAGGAUGCUCAACCGCAUACAGUUAUUGGAUUGUGGAAAGUUAAUCUGGAAGAACCAAAAUCUCACCUGUCUGAUCCUUCGGUUAUAAUUCAUGAUAUCUCCACAAAAGCACGCAUUAGACUUGCAUCUGCAAAUGAAAAUGACAAGCAACAACUUCAGUGGUUUAGCAAUGCAUGCAAAGGAAUUCCACAGAUAUUCCCUAAAAGCGGCUUUUGAUUACACUUCCAAACAAUGUACUGCGUGCUGCCAACAUUUAGGAUUGUGAUCUUUGAUGUGAAUAUGUGCAAAAAUGGAUUUCUAAACAGCUGAAUGGCUCUCAUAGUCUCACAUACAGAUUGGAGUCCUGACUUUUGAGACAAUGAAGUACUAUCUUACAGACUAUUAUGUAGGCAACGAUAUGCUAGAUUACAGUCUUGUAGUGCAGAUAUUUUCUCCAUCAUUCUAGUCUCUAUUUCUGGCAAUGUCAUAUUCUAACACAUGAGAGAAAUCAUUGAGGAUAAAGACAUGCCAUUGUUUCCUUCUAAGUGGGAGAGGAGAGGCAACAGCCAAUACACCCAAGCAGAUAUUGAUCAAGUGUGAAAUGAGUGAGGGAAGUUUGUUGUCAACACAUAUGUGCAUGAGCCUUGAAGUAGCGCGCUUGUUGCUGGUACAAUUUUAAUAAGGAAAGCAUCUUUUUUGUGCUUCUCUGCUGGUACAUUGUCAUGCACCAUGUGGCAUGUUUUGGAACAAUACAUAUAUGUGUAUCAGCUUUUUGAUGUCCCAAGUAGAUGGACAUGCACUAGAAUGCUUUUCUUGUUUAAAAUGUUGGCUUUCUUAUUUGGAAAUGCACCUCUUUUGCUUAUGAAGUUUAAAGUAUUGGUUAGAUUACUCA